rnacentral:rRNA from 1 species
GAUGAACGCUGGCUACAGGCUUAACACAUGCAAGUCGAGGGGAAACGACGGGGAAGCUUGCUUCCCCGGGCGUCGACCGGCGCACGGGUGAGUAACGCGUAUCCAACCUGCCUCUGACUGAGGGAUAACCCGUCGAAAGUCGGCCUAAUACCUCAUGGCAUCGUCUGCGGGCAUCCAACGACGAUUAAAGAUUUCAUCGGUCAGGGAUGGGGAUGCGUCUGAUUAGCUUGUUGGCGGGGUAACGGCCCACCAAGGCUACGAUCAGUAGGGGUUCUGAGAGGAUGGUCCCCCACAUUGGAACUGAGACACGGUCCAAACUCCUACGGGAGGCAGCAGUGAGGAAUAGUGGUCAAUGGGCGGGAGCCUGAACCAGCCAAGUAGCGUGCAGGAUGACGGCCCUAUGGGUUGUAAACUGCUUUUAUGCGGGGAUAAAGUGAGGGACGUGUCCUUCAUUGCAGGUACCGCAUGAAUAAGGACCGGCUAAUUCCGUG